rnacentral:rRNA from 1 species
CAGCCGCCGCGGGAAUACGUAGGGUGCAAGCGUUAAUCAGAAUUACUGGGCGUAAAGCGUGCGCAGGCGGUUAUAUAAGUCAGAUGUGAAAUCCCCGGGCUCAACCUGGGAACUGCAUUUGAGACUGUAUGGCUAGAGUGUGUCAGAGGGGGGUAGAAUUCCACGUGUAGCAGUGAAAUGCGUAGAGAUGUGGAGGAAUACCGAUGGCGAAGGCAGCCCCCUGGGCCAAUACUGACGCUCAUGCACGAAAGCGUGGGGAGCAAACAGGAUUAGAUACCCCUGUAGUCCCUGUCUCUUAUAC